AUGAUGCAACUACGUGUCUACUACUGUACGUGCUAUGUACAGCCGAGCAUUAUCGCGCGCGGCGGCCUCUGCUUAGAAGACGAGGCAAUCCUUGUCGAGGUCGUACCCCAUCUUCUCCAGCCCCGGGCGCACCGUGCACUCGAGCAUCGCCGGCGGCCCGCACACGAGCGCGAGCGUCUCGCCGUCUCCGCCCAAAGGCAGGUGCUCCCGGAGCACCUGUUCGUCGACCCUACCCACGCCGUAUUCCCAUGCGUCCUCCGGCCGGGCCACCUUGCUCACCACGUACCACACCUUGAGCCGCGCCGGGUGCGCGGCCGCCCACCGGUCGAUCUCCUCCCGCAGGAGCAUGUCGUCCUCGGUGCGGUUCGCGAACACCAGGUGCAUCUCCGUGGUGUCAUCGGGCUGGUCCCUCAGCACGGCCUGGAUCACCUGGUACACCGGCGUGAUCCCCGUCCCGCCGGCCACCAUGGCGAGCCGGCGCGCGAACCGGCGCUCGCCGCCCACCGUGAACGCGCCGCGGCCGGCGUACUCGAUGUGGCCCACGGGGCCCUUGAUGUCGACGGGUGCACCGAGCGGCAGCGAGUCGAGGUACUGCGACAUGAGCCCGCCGGCGGGGAACUUGGGGUCCUCGUCCUUGAAGUAUAUCUUGAUGAGGAGGUCCACAUGGCCGACCUCCUCGACGGAGCUGGUGGGCGUGUACGCGCGCAUGCAGAGCUUGCCGCCGGUGGACGCGCACACGUACACGUGCUUGCCGACGGGCAGCCCGAGCUUCUGGUCAGGCGACGGCAGCGCGAACCGGAACAGGCGCACGUUGUCGGACAUGCUCUUCUUGUCGACGAGCCGGCAGCGCACCUUCUCCCGCGGAUUGGCGAGCGCAACGGUCGUCGAGACCGGCGGCAGCACCAAGGGCUCAACACCAGCAGCAGGGGCCUCGACGAUGGCGGCGAGGUCGGCGCUGCUGCUCUGCGGCGAGUAGUCGGUGCCGGUGGCGAUGAGCUCGCCGACGCGGUACAUCUCAAGGAGGCCGCGGGCCUUGGCGGAGUGGAUGGCGUCGAACUCCUCGGUGCAGUCGGAGCCGGCAUUGAUGAGGAUGCUGUCGGCGCCGCCGGGGUGGUCCUUGAGGAAGCCCGUGCAGUCGUAGACGUGGCCGUGCACGACGAUCCACGCCGACUCCUUGGACGCGUGGCGGCGCACCUCGGACAUGGUGUACUGGGCUGA
rnacentral:rRNA from 1 species